rnacentral:rRNA from 1 species
GACGAACGCUGGCGGCGUGCUUAACACAUGCCAGUCGAACGGAAAGGCCCUGCUUUUGUGGGGUUCUCGAGUGGCGAACGGGUGAGUAACACGUGAGUAACCUGCCCUUGACUUUGGGAUAACUUCAGGUAACUGGGGCUAAUACCGGAUAGGAGCUCCUGCUGCAUGGUGGGGGUUGGAAAGUUUCGGCGGUUGGGGAUGGACUCGCGGCUUAUCAGCUUGUUGGUGGGGUAGUUGCUUACCAAGGCUUUGACGGGUAGCCGGCCUGUGAGGGUGACCGGCCAAAAGGGGACUGAGAGAGGGCCCAGAGUGGAACGGGAGGCAGCAGUGGGGAAUAUUGCACAAUGGGCGGAAGCCUGAUGCAGCAACGCCGGGUGCGGGAUGACGGCCUUCGGGUUGUAAACCGCAUUCGCCUGUGACGAAGCGUGAGUGACGGUAAUGGGUAAAGAAGCACCGGCUAACUACGUG